rnacentral:piRNA from 1 species
UGGUGUGGCCGGUCUGAUGAUCCCCAAGU